CUCCAAGGAUGUUGUUCCGAAUCUAAGGGUCAGGCGGUGCAGGUAAAUCGGAAAUAGCGCUUGGAUGCCUCGCUCCGGGUGUGAAUUCUUUAGAGGAUAAGGUCAUAGUUGGUGGUCCAGGUCUUGCUAUGACACGAAAAUGAAGGCUGGAAUAAACGUGUAGAAAGCGUAUGGUUUCCUUGUGCGGACGUGGGUUCGAAUCCCACCAGCUCCACUU
rnacentral:tmRNA from 1 species